ensembl:lncRNA
AAAAGCCAUCAAACAUUUGCAGUUCACUUGAAAAAAUGAAAGACAAACCAGAAACUAAAACAAAUUGGUUUGCUCAGUUUUAAUCACUAUAUAAUACAACAGUAUUCCAGAUAUUUCAAGAUUUUAUUUUAGCUGUUUCCUUAUUUAUUUUUAAAUUUUAACUGACUGGAUCUUUGUUAAUAAUUGGCGCUGAAGUCUAGCUAGUAAAAUGAAAAGGUAAACCCUCCAAAGAGGAUUACGUCAAUGAUGAAGGAGCAGUCCACGAUAUUCUGAAGGUACUUCAGGCUAUUAAUCUUUUACAAGUCUGAUGUUAUAGUGGGCAAACAUGGACACUAUAUUCCAGACAGGGAAAUCAAGCAGACAAGUCCUAACCGUGUUGCCCCAGGCCAACCAUUAAAUCAUGGGAAGAGCAGAGCUUCAACUUAAGACUGACACCUUAACUUAAAUAAAAACUAAACAGUUCUUCAGGAGAAUGAGAAAAUUGAUCAUAUUUGAUGAAUCUUAGAACUUCAACAAGGUGAAGACAAAGCAGGCUACAAUUAUUUGGACACUCAUCACUUAACAAAGGAUAUCCAGAUAGCAUCUCAGGACGUCUGAGAGACCCAUGCGACUAUACAUCGGAAGGCGGACGGACUUCCCUCCGGGAGGAGGUGGAGAUAGGUGAGAACUCUCCGACCCCGACUGAACAGCCUACUACCUGCAAGUGGCUUUCUUCCAACGGAUGCCCCCAGAAGAUCAACACACACCUAGGGCAGGAGCGAGCACACACCAGAGGAGCGAUGGUGGAAACAGAUGACCAGAACCCUACCUAAACCCCCUGCAAUUACUCCUAAAUGCAGAGGGAAACUCUAGAGUUACAGACCUGAGCCCGCGGGGAGAGUCUCGCCCCACCAUUGGCAGGGAGAUCCCGCCUGGUGUCCACGGCGCCCGGAGGGUCCCAGAGAGAAUCACAGAGGGUACAGUGGGCCCCCGGCUGCCACUGUCUGAACGGUGGGACAAGCGAUUGCCGGAGAUCUUGGAGAGGACUGGGGAUGGGUGAAGCUCCAGAGGCCAGCUCUGCGCCCCGGAGGGGAAGCUCCAGAGUUCCACCUGGGCAGCAGACAAAACUCUCUGUCUGCCAUUAGUGGAGGGGCCACUCCCAGCAUUCACAACUCUGGGAAAGUCCCGGAGACAAUCCCAGAGGGCGCGGCGACACCCAGCUGCUGUUGCCUGCCCCGUGGGGCAAGGGAUUGCCGGAGAUCUCGGAGAGGACUGGGGCUGGGGGGAGCUCCAGAGGCAGGCUCCGUGGCCCGGGGGGGAAGGUCCAGAGUUCCGCCCAGGCAGCAGACAAAGCUCUCUGUCUGCCAUUAGCGGAGGGUCCUGGAGAGGAGACUAUCAGGCAGGGCAGCAGCUGACAAGCUACCUCUGAAAUCAGGAUCUCCAGCUAUCCCCCAGACAGGGCAAAGUGCUCCCCGAGUUCCUGGGGAACAGGACUGGGGCUGGGUGGAGUUCCAGUGACCCAGCUCCGUAGCCUAGGGGGAAACCCUACAGGCUCACAGCAGCCUCAGUGAAAGCCUCUGCACAGCACUAGUAGAGAGAACCCAUCUGGCAGCCACAAGGCUGGAAGACCCCGGGACAAAAGUAGCAUAGCUAGGUGAGCUAACCACAGACUGUAGAAGAUGCCAAUAGCUCUGCUGUGACCCAUAGUGGACAAGUGAGAUUUUGUGGGUGCCGACAGUGACGGAGCAGCAAAUAUAAGUGAUCCUAUCCCUGACCGCUGGAAAAGCCCAUAACACCAUUGCAGACCCCAAGGAGGGAGCACGUCUAGGUGGGCUGCAACAGUAGGGACCAGCAGCCUGAAGCCCCCCCGUGAUGGCCCCCAUGGCAGAAGAGGGAAUCCAAAGAACCACUGUGACUACGAGGAGGGGCCCAGGCCCAGUUAGCAACUGCGGAUAGGGUUACUGGUUGGUGCAGUAUAAACAUCUGCUCCCCCACCACACCAGCAGAAACAAGUGGAAGGAGCAACUAAACUCUAUCUCUAUGCAGAGGCACAAAUCUACAACAUCAAGCAAUAUGAAAAAAAUACAUUAAAUCUCCAGAACAGAAGGAAAAUAACAAAUACACAGAAAACAAUCCCAAAGAAAAUGAAAUAUAUAACCUAAAUGAUGAUGACUUCAAAAGAGCCAUCAUUAAAAUACUCAAUGAGUUAAGAGAAAAUUCAGAUAGACAACUCAACGAGUUCAGGAGCUAUGUCACAAAAGAGUUUGAUACGAUAAAGAAGAACCAAACAGAAAUACUGGAAAUGAAGAACACAAUAGAGGAGAUUAAGAAAAAUCUAGAUGCACUGAACAGUAGGGCCGAUAAUAUGGAGGAAAGAAUUAGCAAUUUGGAAGAUGGCAAUAUAGAAAUGCUGCAGGCAGAGGAGGAGAGAGAAGUAAGACUAAAAAGAAAUGAAGAAACUCUCUGAGAAUUAUCAGACACAAUUAGGAGAUGCAACGUAAGGAUUAUAGGUAUACCAGAGGGAG